rnacentral:rRNA from 1 species
UACGGAGGGGGUUAGCGUUGUUCGGAAUGACUGGGCGUAAAGCGCGCGUAGGCGGAUCAGGAAGUUGGGGGUGAAAUCCCGGGGCUCAACCCCGGAAUGGCCUUCAAAACUCCUGGUCUUGAGUUCGAGAGAGGUGAGUGGAAUGCCGAGUGUAGAGGUGAAAUUCGUAGAUAUUCGGCGGAACACCAGUGGCGAAGGCGACUCACUGGCCCGAUACUGACGCUGAGGCGCGAAAGCGUGGGGAGCAAACAGG